UACGUAGGGGGCAAGCGUUGUCCGGAUUUAUUGGGCGUAAAGAGCGUGUAGGCGGCCAGACAGGUCAGCUGUGAAAACUCGAGGCUCAACCUCGAGACGUCGGUUGAACCGUCUGGCUAGAGUCCGGAAGAGGAGAGUGGAAUUCCCGGUGGUACGCGGUGAAAUGCGCAGAUAUCGGGAAGAACGACCCGUGGCGCAAGGC
rnacentral:rRNA from 1 species